rnacentral:misc_RNA from 1 species
UUUCCGUAGGUGAACCUGCGGAAGGAUCAUUAUUGUAUAACCGAGGUGCGAGGGCUGUCGCUGACCCGAAAGGUCGUGCACGCCCGAGUGCCCUCACUCACAUCCAUCUCACCCCUAUGUGCACCACCGCGUGGGUCCCCCUUUGGCUUGUUCGGAGGGGGGCUUACGUUUUCACACAAACUUUGUAUGCAGUGUAGAAUGUAUUUUUUGCUUUUGCGAUCACGCAAUCAAUACAACUUUCAACAACGGAUCUCUUGGCUCUC